CUCACAGGUACCGGGGCAGCUACUGGAGGACUGUGCGGGCCUGCCUGGGCUGCCCCCUCCGCCGUGGGGCCCUGUUGCUGCUAUCCAGCUAUUUCUACUACUCCCUCCCAAAUGCGGUCAGCGUGCCCUUCACUUGGAUGCUUGCCCUCCUGGGCCUCUCGCAGGCACUGAACAUCCUCCUGGGCCUCAAGGUAUGACACAGGGGGAGGUAGAAGCUCUGGCCAAGUGGAGGCUGUGGCUGGUGUGACCUGCCCCGAGCUGAGUACUGGGAGUGGGACUGGUUUAAAGGUUGGAGUCCAGGGAGUAGAACCUAUAAUGUCCUGGAACAGUGGAUUUGGCAAAGGAGGGAUCAAGUCAGGAGCAUGUUGGGAAGCCUUGGAGGAGGAGGAAGUUUCUCUGGGUGUCCUUGAUGGAGGCCCCCCAGCCCCAUCCUGCCAUCCACAGGGACUGGCCCCAGCUGAGAUCUCUGCAGUCUGUGAAAAAGGGAAUUUCAACGUGGCCCAUGGGCUGGCAUGGUCAUAUUACAUCGGAUAUCUGCGGCUGAUCCUGCCAGGCUGGAGUACAGUGGCAACAAGAUCUCAGCUCACU
rnacentral:sRNA from 1 species